UAUCUCAAACACCUACACUACAGAUUCCCA
rnacentral:piRNA from 1 species